rnacentral:rRNA from 1 species
UGCUGGGGAUAGAGCAUUGCAAUUAUUGCUCUUCAACGAGGAAUCCCUAGUAAGCGCAAGUCAUCAGCUUGCGUUGAUUACGUCCCUGCCCUUUGUACACACCGCCCGUCGCUACUACCGAUUGAAUGGCUCAGUGAGGCUUUCGGACUGAUCUAAGGGAGGAGGCAACUCUUCCCCCUGGUCGGAAAGUUAUCCAAACUCGGUCAUUUAGAGGAAGUAAAAGUCGUAACAAGGUCUCCGUUGGUGAACCAGCGGAGGGAUCAUUACUGAGUUUACGCUCUACAACCCUUUGUGAACAUACCUAUAACUGUUGCUUCGGCGGGUAGGGUCUCCGCGACCCUCCCGGCCUCCCGCCCCCGGGCGGGUCGGCGCCCGCCGGAGGAUAACCAAACUCUGAUUUAACGACGUUUCUUCUGAGUGGUACAAGCAAAUAAUCAAAACUUUUAACAACGGAUCUCUUGGUUCUGGCAUCGAUGAAGAACGCAGCGAAAUGCGAUAAGUAAUGUGAAUUGCAGAAUUCAGUGAAUCAUCGAAUCUUUGAACGCACAUUGCGCCCGCCAGCAUUCUGGCGGGCAUGCCUGUUCGAGCGUCAUUUCAACCCUCAAGCUCUGCUUGGUGUUGGGGCCCUACAGCCGAUGUAGGCCCUCAAAGGUAGUGGCGGACCCUCCCGGAGCCUCCUUUGCGUAGUAACUUUACGUCUCGCACUGGGAUCCGGAGGGACUCUUGCCGUAAAACCCCCCAAUUUCCAAAGGUGACCUCGGAUCAGGUAU